GUUUCUCUUUCUUCCCAAGGAUCCCAAUCUGCCCAGAGGAAUAGGGAACAGAUCCUCGACCCCCAACUUGAACUGUGUUCAGAAGACCAGCACAGGGUGACAAAACUGAGGCCUGGAGGGUUUAAAUCCUCGGUCACACAGCUGGUGAGAGAGUGGAGCCAGGAGUCAACCCAGGACUUCUUCCUGCCGGCCUCGGGGGAGUCAGGAGGCAGUGCCGCUCCUGGAGGUGGGGAGGUGACAUCUUCUCCUAACUGCAAUGUAUUACACUUUCCAACGGCUGUCUUUCAGGGAUGCGGUUUUUCUAAAACGGCCUAUCUGUAGAACCAGACAUUUGUAUCAACAACUUGGCAAACUGUCAGUUGUGACCCUACUCACGGGCAGAAAAAAUCCUUUUGAUUUAGAGCUCUUGAAAAUUGAGUUAACCUCAAAUCCCUUUGUUGACUAAACAUGAUUCCGUUAAUAAAAGA